rnacentral:rRNA from 1 species
CCUACGGGUGGCAGCAGUGGGGAAUAUUGCACAAUGGGGGAAACCCUGAUGCAGCGACGCCGCGUGAAGGAAGAAGUAUUUCGGUAUGUAAACUUCUAUCAGCAGGGAAGAAAAUGACGGUACCUGACUAAGAAGCCCCGGCUAACUACGUGCCAGCAGCCGCGGUAAUACGUAGGGGGCAAGCGUUAUCCGGAUUUACUGGGUGUAAAGGGAGCGUAGGCGGUUUAGCAAGUCAGAAGUGAAAGCCCGGGGCUCAACCCCGGGACUGCUUUUGAAACUGUUGAACUAGAGUGCAGGAGAGGUAAGUGGAAUUCCUAGGGUAGCGGUGAAAUGCGUAGAUAUUAGGAGGAACACCAGUGGCGAAGGCGGCUUACUGGACUGUAAAUGACGCUGAGGCUCGAAAGCGUGGGGAGCAAACAGGAUUAGAUACCCCAGUAGUC